rnacentral:lncRNA from 12 species
CUGUAUCACAUCUAGCUUCAGUGACACCUGCACAGUUUUAAUUCUCUUUUAUCUAAAGACUAUUGAAAGUAGCCAUUCUUUGGGGUAAUUUCUGGGGUAAAUGUUAUGUUAUGACAGUUAUAACUAUUCACAAGCUGUUUAUUGACGCUUUUCGAAACACUGUUUGAUCGAUUAGCCUACAUGAGACAUUUGUUUUAAGUUGUUCUGAUUUUUUUCAACACUUCUUCUGAUGUUCAUUCAUGUUUAUUUUGUGCUAGAAAAGAUGAAAAGAUUCACAUGCCGCAUGAACUGAGGCGAAUACAGUGAUCACAGUGAGUACAAAUGUUUUUGCAUGUGGACCUGAGGCUGACUUGCUACGCCACUGAUUUGACAUAUUAAGUAUGACACAAAUGCAUGGAUUGCUGAAUGACCUUUAUAAAUGAUUCUGACACAUUUGAAGGAAGCAUGAUGUCCAUUCCUCUUCAUAGCAGCAUGUUUUAGGGUGUAGCUGCUGACUCACAGGGCAAAGGAGGGGGUAAAGGCUUGUGUCGUCUCCACCCGCCUGCACUUGUACUUUCAGAUUUUAAGACAGCUAUGUCCAACUUCGGCGCCAGUCUCUUCGGAGGUGCUCAUUUUCUCUCUGUGCCCCAUUUCAGCUGGAUCAGCACAUUCUCGGCAUCUCUGUCAUAAAAGUUUGUGUGUCCCAUGGAGAAAUCCAAAAACAAAUCCAAAAGCUGCUCAACUGAACAAUUGAAUGAGUCUGUGAAAUAUAUUUAAAAAAGCCACAUGGCUGUAUGUUUCUGUGUUUCUGUGAACAUGCAUCAUCCUCUUCUGGUUUCUUCAUCUCGCAGGCGAUAAUCUGCUGUUCUAAUUCCAGUGCAACCUGCCUUCUUAGAUCUACUACUAAUGAAAGUAAACUUGCUUGUUCUCUAGUAGCAUCAGUGAUUGAUCCACAGAAUUCAUGUCCUGUGCACGUAUACUUCACAAAGAUAGAACUGGUGAAUUAUCAUUUCAUGCCGACUUCAAAUUUUUGUUUUAUACUGUGUGCAUUUUUUAUCAGCUAAAUGGAAAGGUAAUACUAGAUUUCACACUUCAACACAGUUUC